AUCGAGAGAUUAAACAAACGUUCUCUCUCCUCUGAGCUUGUGAUAAAGGAUCUUCAUAAUGACAUAAAUUUGUUGUUGGAGGUGAAGGGGAAACUCGAAAAUGAUGUAGGGUUCCAUGUGGAAGAAAAAGAAGCUCUUCAGAAAGACCUUAGUUGGCACAAAGAAGAAACCAACAGAUUAAAUGAACACAAUCUCUCCUACGAGAUUACGAUAAAGGAUCUUCAUAAUGACCUAAACUCGUUGAAGGAGGCAAAGGAGAAGCUUGAAAAUGAUGUAGGGUUCCACGUAGAAGAAAAGGAAGCUCUUCGGAAAGACCUUAGUUGGCACAAAGAAGAAAUCAACAGAUUAAAUGAACACAAUCUCUCCUCCGAGCUUGUGAUAAAGGAUCUUCAUAAUGAUCUAAACUCGUUGAAGGAGGCGAAGGAGAAGCUUGAAAAUGAUGUAGGGUUCCAUGUUGAAGAAAAAGAAACUCUUCACAAUGACCUUAGUCGGCACAAAGAAGAAAUCGACAGAUUAAAUGAACAGAACCUCUCCUCCGAGCUUAUGAUAAAGGGUCUUCAUAAUGACGUAAACUCGUUGAAGGAGGCAAAGGAAAAGCUUGAAAAUGAUGUACGGUUUCAUGUAGAAGAAAAGGAACCUCUUUGGAAAGACCUUAGUUGGCACAAAGAAGAAAUCAACAGAUUAAAUAAACACAAUCUCUCCUCCGAGCUUAUGAUAAAGGAUCUUCAUAAUGACCUAAACUCGUUGAUGGAGGCAAAGGAGAAACUUGAAAAUGAUGUAGGGUUCCAUGUUGAAGAAAAAGAAACUCUUCAGAAAGAC
rnacentral:lncRNA from 1 species